rnacentral:tRNA from 1 species
UGGGGAAUCGUCUAGCGGUAGGACAGCGGACUCUGGAUCCGUAAAGGAAGGUUCGAAUCCUUCUUUCCCAGCCA